UCAAGUCUGCGCCACAAACAGAUAAAGUUGGGUAUAUAAACAAUAAAUAAAAUUAUAUUCGUUCUACCAUCGCGGGAUUUGCUACACGCCGGACUAAAACUUUUGGAAUUAUACACUGAGAUCCUUUAGAGGGAAUACAUGCCAAGACAAAGUGCGUUGUUGCAGUGGCUGUGAAAAUCUAUAAUCAAGAAAAGCAAGUGUGAGCGAGGAUCUGCAAGAAUCAAAAUGGCGAAAUACAUAUUUGUAUUCAUUUUGAUGCUGUUUGUCGCUGCUCAAGCUCUGGCGACAGCGGCGAAAUACCAAAGGUCGGCCAUCAGACAUUCAAAUGGGCAAUCUGAAUCCAUUUUUGAAGAAAGUAGAGUAAGACGCCAAGUUCUUCAAUCAAGGAGAUGCCCUAGCGGUAAAGUGUGGCUGAUCAACAGAUGUGUCACCUGCAAAGAGUACGAAACUAACACUGACGAAGAUUGCCCGUUGAAGAAAUGAAAUUAGCUCGACCCUUUAUUUCGAAACUCAUGAAGAACAAUGUUUUUAUGUAAACGUCAUAUUAUUAUGUUAUUUUUAAUGCGUAUUAAAGUUCAAACUUAAUUUUAA